rfam:Glycine max cultivar Williams 82 chromosome 19, whole genome shotgun sequence.
GAUCACGGUGAUGACUCCAUAAAAUUCAAGCUCAACAGACCGGAAUGCAGAGCUUUCUCUCUUUGUGGAGAUUGCCAUGCGUGUCGAUUACCCCGCUGAACUGAGUGAUC